rnacentral:rRNA from 1 species
AUUGAACGCUGGCGGCAUGCUUUACACAUGCAAGUCGAACGGUAACAGGCCUUCGGGUGCUGACGAGUGGCGAACGGGUGCGUAAUGCAUCGGAACGUACCCAGAGGUGGGGGAUAACGCAGCGAAAGCUGUGCUAAUACCGCAUGUGAUCUGAGGAUGAAAGCGGGGGACCGAGCAGCAAUGUUUGGACUCGCGCCUUUGGAGCGGCCGAUGUCGGAUUAGCUAGUUGGUGGGGUAAAGGCCUACCAAGGCGACGAUCCGUAGCUGGUCUGAGAGGACGACCAGCCACACUGGGACUGAGACACGGCCCAGACUCCUACGGGAGGCAGCAGUGGGGAAUUUUGGACAAUGGGCGCAAGCCUGAUCCAGCAAUGCCGCGUGCGGGAAGAAGGCCUUCGGGUUGUAAACCGCUUUUGGCAGGAACGAAACGGUGUCCGCUAAUACCGGGCGCUAAUGACGGUACCUGCAGAAUAAGCACCGGCUAACUACGUG